AGGAAUAUUGGUCAAUGGGCGGAAGCCUGAACCAGCCAAGUCGCGUGAGGGAAGACGGUCCUAUGGAUUGUAAACCUCUUUUGCCGGGGAGCAAAGCCGGGCUCGUGAGCCCGGAAGGAGAGUACCCGGAGAAAAAGCAUCGGCUAACUCCGUGCCAGCAGCCGCGGUAAUACGGAGGAUGCGAGCGUUAUCCGGAUUUAUUGGGUUUAAAGGGUGCGUAGGCGGGAUCUUAAGUCAGCGGUAAAAAUGCGGGGCUCAACCCCGUAGUGCCGUUGAAACUGAGGUUCUUGAGUGGGCGAGAAGUAUGCGGAAUGCGUGGUGUAGCGGUGAAAUGCAUAGAUAUCACGCAGAACUCCGAUUGCGAAGGCCAGCAUACCGGCGCCCAACUGACGCUGAGGCACGAAAGCGUGGGGAUCGAACAGGAUUAGAUACCCUGGUAGUCCACGCAGUAAACGAUGAAUGCUCGCUGUCCGGGACUACGGUCCUGGGUGGCCCAGCGAAAGCGAUAAGCAUUCCACCUGGGGAGUACGCCGGCAACGGUGAAACUCAAAGGAAUUGACGGGGGCCCGCACAAGCGGAGGAACAUGUGGUUUAAUUCGAUGAUACGCGAGGAACCUUACCCGGGCUCAAACGUUUCAGGACGAUGCUCGAAAGAGUAUUUCCCUUCGGGGUCUGAGACGAGGUGCUGCAUGGUUGUCGUCAGCUCGUGCCGUGAGGUGUCGGCUUAAGUGCCAUAACGAGCGCAACCCCUACCGACAGUUGCUAACAGGCAAAGCUGAGGACUCUGUCGGGACUGCCGGCGCAAGCUGAGAGGAAGGCGGGGAUGACGUCAAAUCAGCACGGCCCUUACGUCCGGGGCGACACACGUGUUACAAUGGCAGGUACAGCGGGAAGCCAUAUGGCGACAUAGAGCGGAACCCGAAAACCUGUCUCAGUUCGGAUUGGAGUCUGCAACCCGACUCCAUGAAGCUGGAUUCGCUAGUAAUCGCGCAUCAGCCACGGCGCGGUGAAUACGUUCCCG
rnacentral:rRNA from 1 species